rnacentral:lncRNA from 1 species
AUGUAUCAUCUGGGUAAAUGCACAACUUUUGACAGCACUACUUUUUAUAUUUUAACAGGUGCAAAGAAACAGAUUGUAAGACUGAGGGUCAAAACUGGUUCAAAUCUUAAUGAUCCUGCAGUGAUCACUGUUAUCUUACAGUGGAUAAAAAGCUUUGGGCUGGCCGACAAGGAGGACUCUGGCGACAUCCGAAGGGAGAUCCCGACUAACGGCAUCGGAUGGAUGAGACUCACUUGCGGCCGGCAAGCAUAGGCCCGUCCGGGAGACUCUCGCCAGACAUCUGAAGGGAGCACACGCGACAGAUGGGUAAGCCUCGGCGGACGGGGAGGGUUGGAAAGGAAAACCCGACUGGGAGGACUCCGAUGGGGCCUCUAACUCAGAACAUCGAACGGGUAAGCCUCGCCAGAUGGGGUUAAAAGAUGUGAGAGUAGCUGAGGGUAGCUGAUAGUUGUUUUUUUAUUUUUUGCAGGAUUUGGCGAGAGGACGAAACACGUAGCGUCGGACGGUUAAGCCUCGCCUACCGUCAAAUGGAAAGGUAAGUUGCGUGGCCGAGAGACUGUUACCGACGUCUGAAGGGAGCGCACACAUCGAAUGGUUAAGCCUCGCCGACCGUAGAGUGGAAACAUAAAGCAAGUCUGUCCAGGAGGCUCUCGUCAGCGUCCGAAGGGAGCACACACAUCAAACGGGUAAGCCUCACUGACCAUAGAAAAGGAAAAGGUAAGGUUGUCUAACCAGGAGGCUCUCGCUGGCGUCCGAAGGGAGCACGCGCAUCGAACGGGUAAGCCUCUCCGGAUGACGGACAGAAAAGGUAAUGAUAGGUGGCCAGGAGGCUCUUGCCAGCAUCCAGCGGGGACAAAACUGGGUGAGCCUUGCAAGCCGUAGGAUGGAAAAGGUAAGUUUGUGUGGUCGUUAGGCUGUCGUCACCGUUUUAUGGGAGUUUGCUACUCCCGGCAAGAGACGGGUAAGCCUUGGUGACCGUAGGAAGGAAGGAGGGUUUAUUUGUGUGUUUGGUACUUGCAGCAUUGAACAGCUUGCUUGUAGGUUUGUAACCUAAACCUGGUGGUAAGGUCGUGGUUGGCUGGCCAGGAGGCUCUCGCCAGUGUCCGAUGGGAGCACUCGCAUCGAACGGGUGAGCAUCGCUGGCCAAGGGUGGAAAAGGUCAGGUUGUCUAGCCGGGAGGAUCGGACCGACGUCCGAUAGGAGCUUAGCUCCAGUAAUCGAACGGGUAAACCUCUCUGGCUGAAGGACGGAAAAGGUUGUCCGGCCGGGAGGCUCUUACCUUCGUCAGACAGGAGCUUAGCUCCCAGAUAGAACGGGUAAGCCUUGCUGGCCGCAGAAUGGAAAAGGUGAGGUUGUCUGGCCGGGAGGCUCUCGUCAGCAUCCGAUGGGAGCUCAAGCUCUUGGCAUCGAAGAGAGAAGCCUUGCCAGCCAUAGGAUUGAAAAAGGUAAGCUUAUCUGGCCGGGAGGCUAUGGCCAGCAUCCGGUGUCUUUUUAUUUAUUAUUUUUUUAUUUUUAUUUUUUAUAUUUAUUUUUGUUUAUUUAUUAUUAUUAUUAUUUAUUAAAAUUUGCUACACCAGAUGGGUAGUAUCUCCAGCCAUUGGAGGGAAAAUUCAGAUUGUUUUAUCUGCGAAGCACCCGUUAGUGUUCGGCAAAAGCGUAACUUGCGGUAUUGGAUGGGUACACCUUGCCAUCUGAGGGAAAAUUUGUUUUGGUUGCGAUGUACUCAUUGGUGUUCGAUAGGUAAAUGUGUUUUUUUUUUUUUUUGGUUAAUCUGCCUUUUUUAAUCGGGUAAGCUUCGCUGGUGGUCGGAUGGAAAGUCCAAGAUUGAUUAAGUGGGAAAGCAUCUGGCAGGAUUUUAAUACUUGCGAUGUCAUACGAGUAAGCUUUGCUGAUAGUUGAACAGAGAAGCCAAAGGUUGGUUCAACUGGGAGCCCUCUUGCAGCGCCUGGCAGGGAGUUCGAUACUAAGGAUGAUUGGUUUGUCUACUAGGGUAGACGCUGUGAGGCUUACUUGAAUAAUUGUUUAGCAAAUCCAAUGAGCUGGUUCCGAUAAUGAGUCCGAAAAAUCUUGGUGCAGUCAUAGUAUCCGAAAUUAAGCAUGCAAAAAUAAAUUGGAUUUCCUUUGCCGGUG